rnacentral:rRNA from 1 species
GAUGAACGCUGGCGGCGUGCCUAAUACAUGCAAGUCGAGCGAACAGACGAGGAGCUUGCUCCUCUGACGUUAGCGGCGGACGGGUGAGUAACACGUGGAUAACCUACCUAUAAGACUGGGAUAACUUCGGGAAACCGGAGCUAAUACCGGAUAAUAUAUUGAACCGCAUGGUUCAAUAGUGAAAGACGGUUUUGCUGUCACUUAUAGAUGGAUCCGCGCCGCAUUAGCUAGUUGGUAAGGUAACGGCUUACCAAGGCAACGAUGCGUAGCCGACCUGAGAGGGUGAUCGGCCACACUGGAACUGAGAUACGGUCCAGACUCCUACGUGAGGCAGCAGUAGGGAAUCUUCCGCAAUGGGCGAAAGCCUGACGGAGCAACGCCGCGUGAGUGAUGAAGGUCUUCGGAUCGUAAAACUCUGUUAUUAGGGAAGAACAAAUGUGUAAGUAACUAUGCACGUCUUGACGGUACCUAAUCAGAAAGCCACGGCUAACUACGUG